CCCGUUAAGCGGGCCGGAGACAUCGACGCGGCGGCGACGACGGUGGCUACGCACCGGGACCUCAACAAUGACGAUCCAAGGCAGUCCCAAGCUCAACAAAGCAACCACAGCUCGGACUCCCACUGAAAACACUGAAAAACAGCCCUGCCGGAGGAGAAACUGAGUUGAACGGCUUGGCCGGAGCUCCGGCGAGGGGUUUGGCCGGAAACCGGUGACACCUGGGGGUCUUGGGGUCUUGCUGGAGGUUGGGAUGAGCAAAGGAAGGAUCGGAAUGGGAGAAAAAUGGCCGAAAACGCGAAACAGUGCAGGCUGCAGGCGGACCGACGGACCAGCGACCGGUUCCUUCACGGCGGCACCCAGGCCGACUGGCGGCUCUGUUCGGGACGAAAUUGGUCUCGUUGGAACGGUCUGUCUCUCCCGGUCACGGUGAUAUGUGGCUCGUUGGCUGAUUCAUCCGGGAAGACCACUUUUGACUCGAUUCUUGACGAAGGGUCAGCUGGAGCAGAAACUGAAGGAGAGGGAAAACGAGAAAGAGAGGAGCUCGUCCGCUUGGAGGCCGAAUGGGGGAGAGAGAGAGAU
rnacentral:lncRNA from 1 species